CUCAGUAACACGUGGAUAACCUGCCCUUAGGACUGGCAUAACCCCGGGAAACUGGGGAUAAUUCCGGAUAGUUCAUGGUAGCUGGAAUGCUCCAUGAUCGAAAGCUAUUGCGCCUAAGGAUGGGUCUGCGGUCUAUCAGGUAGUAGUGGGUGUAAUGUACCUACUAGCCGACGACGGAUACGGGUUGUGGGGGCAAGAGCCCGGAGAUGGAUUCUGAGACAUGAAUCCAGGCCCUACGGGGCGCAGCAGGCGCGAAAACUUUACAAUGCGGGAAACCGCGAUAAGGGGACACCGAGUGCCAGCAUCUUAUGUUGGCUGUCCGCAUGUAUAAAUCACAUGUGUUAGCAAGGGCCGGGCAAGACCGGUGCCAGCCGCCGCGGUAACACCGGCGGCCCGAGUGGUGGCCACUAUUAUCGGGUCUAAAGGGUCCGUAGCCGGUUUGGUCAGUCUUCCGGGAAAUCUGACGGCUUAACCGUUAGGCUUUCGGGGGAUACUACCAGGCUUGGGACCGGGAGAGGUAAGAGGUACUACGGGGGUAGGAGUGAAAUCUUGUAAUCCUCGUGGGACCACCAGUGGCG
rnacentral:rRNA from 1 species